UUUUACUCCCUAGGGAGGCAGCAGUGGGGAAUAUUGGACAAUGGGCGAAAGCCUGAUCCAGCCAUGCCGCGUGUGUGAAGAAGGUCUUCGGAUUGUAAAGCACUUUAAGUUGGGAGGAAGGGUUGUAGAUUAAUACUCUGCAAUUUUGACGUUACCGACAGAAUAAGCACCGGCUAACUCUGUGCCAGCAGCCGCGGUAAUACAGAGGGUGCAAGCGUUAAUCGGAAUUACUGGGCGUAAAGCGCGCGUAGGUGGUUCGUUAAGUUGGAUGUGAAAUCCCCGGGCUCAACCUGGGAACUGCAUCCAAAACUGGCGAGCUAGAGUAUGGUAGAGGGUGGUGGAAUUUCCUGUGUAGCGGUGAAAUGCGUAGAUAUAGGAAGGAACCACCAGUGGCGAAGGCGACCACCUGGACUGAUACUGACACUGAGGUGCGAAAGCGUGGGGAGCAAACAGGAUUAGAUACCCUGGUAGUCCACGCCGUAAACGAUGUCAACUAGCCGUUGGGAGCCUUGAGCUCUUAGUGGCGCAGCUAACGCAUUAAGUUGACCGCCUGGGGAGUACGGCCGCAAGGUUAAAACUCAAAUGAAUUGACGGGGGCCCGCACAAGCGGUGGAGCAUGUGGUUUAAUUUGAAGCAACGCGAAGAACCUUACCAGGCCUUGACAUCCAAUGAACUUCCUAGAGAUGGAUUGG
rnacentral:rRNA from 1 species